AUUUGGCCCUUUCGAAGCUUAGCAAUUUUUAAUAAAUUGAAUGAGUCAAAAAGAGGCCUAUAAAAAUUACUUCUUUAGGUCACUGAAAAGCCAAUCAUGCUUUAAUCAGUAUUACCCAAGUAGUAAACAGUA